rnacentral:rRNA from 1 species
AUGCGUGCAGGCAUAGAGGAGGUUUUUACGUUGGCAGUGCACAGGCAAUGCAGGUGGCACAUUAUAAAGAAGGCUGAGGAGAUGCUAGGACCGUUCUUUGCUGACCGUCCAGAGCUGCACAAGGCAUUCAAGCUGUGCGUGGACCACAGCUUGACAGUGGAGGAGUUUGAAAGGAGCUGGAUGGCCAUGAUUGAAACAUAUCAAGUCCCAGACAACGAGACUCUUGCUAGCCUAUGGGAGAAGCGAAUGUACUGGGUGCCGGCCUACUUCAUGCAGUGCUUCUUCCCGUUUCUGCAGACUACGCAGCGCAGCGAGGGGUUCAAUGCUGUUUUGAAGCGGUACGUGAGCCCUAGCAACUCAUUGCUACAGUUUGCCAAGCAGUACACAACUUUGCAACAAAAAAUACUAGGAUCUGAGCUACAGCAAGAAGCGAACACCGCGCUAAAGCAGCCAAAAUUCCUAACGUAUUUACCAAUGGAGAGGAAAAUGAGCAAGAUAUACACCAACAAGAUCUUUAACAAGUAA